rnacentral:misc_RNA from 1 species
GCUCAAGGCAGGGUCGAUGAUAGACUUGGAUAGUACUGAUGAUGUUGGAUAUACGAGGCAAACUCUUUUGUGGGUAGUUCGAUUUUCGAGACAACUGGAUGUGGGCGUAGCACUAGAGCAUUAUAGCUACACAAUUCGUAAACGUAGAUCAGCAUGGCCAACUUUUGCCUUGUUUUUCUCAAAGAGUUCUUGGAGGGCCAAAACAAACUGAGUAUGAACUUCAUUGAUCUCUUCGAUGGU